CCUACGGGUGGCAGCAGUGGGGAAUAUUGGACAAUGGGCGAAAGCCUGAUCCAGCCAUGCCGCGUGUGUGAAGAAGGCCUUCGGGUUGUAAAGCACUUUCAGUGGGGAAGAAAGCCUUGGGGCUAAUACCCUCGAGGAAGGACAUCACCCACAGAAGAAGCACCGGCUAACUCCGUGCCAGCAGCCGCGGUAAUACGGAGGGUGCGAGCGUUAAUCGGAAUUACUGGGCGUAAAGCGCGCGUAGGCGGUCUGAUAAGCCGGUUGUGAAAGCCCCGGGCUCAACCUGGGAACGGCAUCCGGAACUGUCAGGCUAGAGUGCAGGAGAGGAAGGUAGAAUUCCCGGUGUAGCGGUGAAAUGCGUAGAGAUCGGGAGGAAUACCAGUGGCGAAGGCGGCCUACUGGACUGAUACUGACGCUGAGGUGCGAAAGCGUGGGUAGCAAACAGGAUUAGAUACCCUAGUAGUC
rnacentral:rRNA from 1 species